rnacentral:rRNA from 1 species
UACGGAGGGUGCAAGCGUUGUUCGGAUUCAUUGGGCGUAAAGCGAGUUUAGGCGGUUUGACAAGUCGGAUGUGAAAUCCCGGGGCCCAACCCCGGAACUGCCCCCGAUACUGUCUGGCUAGAGUCCCGGAGAGGGUGGCGGAAUUCCCGGUGUAGGGGUGAAAUCCGUAGAUAUCGGGAGGAACACCAGUGGCGAAGGUGGCCACCGGGACGGUGACUGACGCUGAGAUUCGAAAGCGUGGGUAGCAAACAGG